AGUUUCCUUCCUGGUGACGCUAGGCCAAAGUGCAACUCCGAUGCGCUGCCGCUCUCCCUCCUGGGUCCCUGGAAGGAUUUGGAUGACAAGCUGUCCUUUCUGAACGGUACAGGGAUCCCAGGAGGCUGUGAGGUCAGCCUGGAUUUGGUCACUGAGAACUGGACCACAGCCUGGUGGGGGUUCCAAGGAGCCUGCUGGCUGUUUGUCAAGACACUGGAGUCGGAGCCAAAGAUGUGCGGCCUGAUGUCUCCAUCACAGAUGCCAAGACUCCCUUCCUCCUGCUCAGCCACACAUCUGGAGACGGCAAGCAAAGCAGGACUCUACCUGGAAGCUGAUCUUACAGGCUAUGCCUGGCUCAAAAAGUGGCACUCUCUAGGCCAGCACUGGGGUCUACAAGCUCGACGCGCCGCCCCUCCCCCCCCCCACCUGCUGGAGCCUGAUUGUAACGAACCAUUUCCUCAGUCUCCUGCUCCAUAGGGCCUAUGGCUUCCCUUCCUCCCAGCUGUGGUUCUUAAGGAUUCUGUGUCAGAAGCCAAGGCCCUGCUCCUCUCCUGUAUUCCAACCUUCUCAGUUCUAACAGCUUUAACGUCUACCAACAUGAACAUAAAUUCA